rnacentral:rRNA from 1 species
CAGCAGCCACGGUAAUACGUAGGUCCCGAGCGUUGUCCGGAUUUAUUGGGCGUAAAGCGAGCGCAGGCGGUUAGAUAAGUCUGAAGUUAAAGGCUGUGGCUUAACCAUAGUACGCUUUGGAAACUGUUUAACUUGAGUGCAAGAGGGGAGAGUGGAAUUCCAUGUGUAGCGGUGAAAUGCGUAGAUAUAUGGAGGAACACCGGUGGCGAAAGCGGCUCUCUGGCUUGUAACUGACGCUGAGGCUCGAAAGCGUGGGGCGCAAACAGGAUUAGAGACCCCUGUAGUCCCUGUCUCUUAUACA